rnacentral:tmRNA from 1 species
GGGGGUGACAUGGCUUCGACGGGGAUAUCGAAAUCGCUUGGUGCAUGCCGAGGGGGCAGCUUUCCUCGUUAAUCCAGCCGCAAACUUUUAGUUGCCAACGACGACAACUACGCUCUGGCCGCUUAAGGCCUAGCCCCGAACCCGCUUGUGUCUGUGCUCGCCGGUGUAGGGUCACUAUCACGGAAUCGCUGAUGAUCGCCGCCAGUCGGUCCUCGGCUAACUCUUAACUAGCUGGUCCUGCGGUGCGCUUCGCACGCCGUGUUGCCGCAGGACGAGAUCAAACGGCGAGCUAUGCAUGUAGAGCCAGGGACGUAGCGUCUUCGGACGGGGGUUCAAUUCCCCCCACCUCCACCA